GACGAACGCUGGCGGCGUGCUUAACACAUGCAAGUCGAACGGAAAGGCCCUGCUUUUGUGGGGUGCUCGAGUGGCGAACGGGUGAGUAACACGUGAGUAACCUGCCCUUGACUUUGGGAUAACUUCAGGAAACUGGGGCUAAUACCGGAUAGGAGCUCCUGCUGCAUGGUGGGGGUUGGAAAGUUUCGGCGGUUGGGGAUGGGCUCGCGGCUUAUCAGCUUGUUGGUGGGGUAGUGGCUUACCAAGGCUUUGACGGGUAGCCGGCCUGAGAGGGUGACCGGCCACAAUGGGACUGCGAUACGGCCCAGACUCCUACGGGAGGCAGCAGUGGGGAAUAUUGCACAAUGGGCGGAAGCAUGAUGCAGCAACGCCGCGUGCGGGAUGACGGCCUUCGGGUUGUAAACCGUAUUCGCCUGUGACGAAGCGUGAGUGACGGUAAUGGGUAAAGAAGCACCGGCUAACUACGUG
rnacentral:rRNA from 1 species